GCCGGGGUGCCCGAGCGGAAUAAGGGGGUAGGCUCGAGACCUACUGUCCGAAAGGACUCGCGGGUCCGAAUCCCGUCCCCGGCG
rnacentral:tRNA from 1 species